rnacentral:rRNA from 1 species
GUUUGAUCCUGGCUCAGAGUGAACGCGGCGGCGUGCUUNACACAUGCAAGUCGAACGAGAACGGCUCUAGCUUGCUAGAGUGUCAGCUAAGUGGCGGACGGGUGAGUAAUGUAUAGUUAAUCUGCCCCUUGGAGAGGGAUAACAGUUGGAAACGACUGCUAAUACCUCAUACUCCUUCUUCCUUAGUGGAAGUUGGGAAACGGUUUAUUCUGCCAAGGGAUGAGACUAUAUGGUAUCAGGUAGUUGGUGGGGUAAGAGCCUACCAAGCCAAUGACACCUAGCUGGUCUGAGAGGAUGAUCAGCCACACUGGAACUGAGACACGGUCCAGACUCCUACGGGAGGCAGCAGUGGGGAAUAUUGCACAAUGGAGGAAACUCUGAUGCAGCAACGCCGCGUGGAGGAUGNNACAUUUCGGUGCG